rnacentral:rRNA from 1 species
GACGUAGGGGGCCAGCGUUGCUCGGAAUUACUGGGCGUAAAGGGUUCGUAGGCGGUGUGUCGCGUCGGCCGUGAAAACCUGCAGCUUAACUGUGGGCUUGCGGUCGAUACGGGCAUCACUGGAGUUCGGCAGGGGAGACUGGAAUUCCUGGUGUAGCGGUGAAAUGCGCAGAUAUCAGGAGGAACACCGGUGGCGAAGGCGGGUCUCUGGGCCGAUACUGACGCUGAGGAGCGAAAGCGUGGGGAGCGAACAGG